AUAACACUUACAGAUACAUCCAAAUUAUUGGUGUUAAUCUGGCACCUGGUGCUAAUUUCCUUAAUUAUAUGACAAACCCUAUUUAACUGGAAACAUUCCUCCAAUUAUCACUGUGAUUGUAAGAUUGCAGGCCACUUUAAGAAGACUAAAACCUUGUGACAGAAGGCCAAAGGGAUGACCCUUUCAACCAUUGCAAGAGAGUUUAUUUGGGGAAGCUCAGCUGACUCAGCCGUUUGACCAGCUGCUGUAUCAAACCACACAGGAGUAUGAUGACGUUGGUGGUCGCCAGAGGGCUUUGAGACAUCUGAAAAACAUGGAAUUCAUUAUCAGAUGGAGAUCAGGGGGCCAGGACACUCUACACGACCUAUGCAGAAGCUGUUGAACCUGAUGCUUCCGCAGCCUGGAGAGCUACGUUUUACUGCUGAAGUCAGUAAAGCACAUACGUAUCUGCUGAGUUGGUUUUUACCUUGGUGGGAGACUUAAUAAUAGUCUUGGUUCAUUUAAGAACACUCAGUUUCCUUGAAUCCAGGUUGCAGAAUGUGUAUUGUAGUGACUGUAAAACCUAAAAAAUGUGUUAAUCUAAUUCAAGUGGUUUUAUUAUUAUAUACGAUAAUGUUAUUUGAAUGAUCCAACCUGACUGCAACAGAAGUCAUUUUUAUAGGGCAGAUGAGGUAGAAAUAUCUCCUUUUGCAACCAAUACUCCUAAAU